rnacentral:tRNA from 1 species
UGUGGGGUAGUGUAAUGGCGAGCAUAAUUGGCUCAUAACCAAUCGAUGUGGGUUCGACUCCCGCCCCCACAA